UCCCUCUCAGGGUUGCACCUGGAGAGUUUCCAGUACUCUACCACUAUUGACUAUGGGAGGGAGAGUCAAGCAGAGGCCUACGCAUUCCAUUCCUAGCUUGGCCAGUGGCUAGCAAGUGGAAGGCCAUCUGCUACCAGU